rnacentral:rRNA from 1 species
GACGAACGCUGGCGGCGUGCUUAACACAUGCAAGUCGAACGGAAAGGCCCUGCUUUUGUGGGGUGCUCGAGUGGCGAACGGGGGAGUAACACGUGAGUAACCUUCCCUUGACUUUCGGUUAACUUCAGGUAACUGGGGCUAAGACCGGAUAGGAACUCCUGCUGCAUGGUGGGGGUUGGAAAGUUUCCGCGGUUGGGGAUGGACUCGCGGCUUAUCAGCUUGUUGGUGGGGUAGUGGCUGACCAAGGCUUAGACGGGAAGCCGGCCUGAGAGGGUGACCGGCCACAGUGGGACUAAGAUACGGACCAGACUCCAACGGGAGGCAGCAGUGGAGAGGAGUGCACAGUGGGCGGCAGCCUGAUGCAACGACGCCGCGUGCGAGAUGCCGGCCUUCGGGUUAAAAACCGCUUUCGCCUGGGACGCAGCGUGAGUGACGGUAAUGGGUAAAGAAGCACCGGCUAACUACGUG